AUUGAACGCUAGCGGGAUGCUUUACACAUGCAAGUCGAACGAGUGGAGGACGGGUGAGUAAUAUAUCGGAACGUGCCCAGUAGCGGGGGAUCACUACUCGAAAGAGUGGCUCAUACCGCCUACUAUUGGAGCGGCCGAUAUCGGAGUAGCUAGUUGGUGGGGUAAAGGCUCACCAAGGCAACGAUCCGUAGCUGGUUUGAGAGGACGACCAGCCACACUGGGACGGAGCCACGGCCCCGACUACUACGGGAGGCAGCAGUGGGGAAUUUUGGACAGUGGGGGAAACCCUGAUCCGGCCAUCCCGCGUGUAUGAGAAGGGCCUCGGGUUGUAAAGUACUUUUGGCAGAGAAGCGGUAUCUGCAGAAUAAGCACCGGCUAACUACGUGCCAGCAGCCGCGGUAAUUC
rnacentral:rRNA from 1 species